UACGUAGGUCCCGAGCGUUGUCCGGAUUUAUUGGGCGUAAAGCGAGCGCAGGUGGUUUAUUAAGUCUGGUGUAAAAGGCAGUGGCUCAACCAUUGUAUGCAUUGGAAACUGGUAGACUUGAGUGCAGGAGAGGAGAGUGGAAUUCCAUGUGUAGCGGUGAAAUGCGUAGAUAUAUGGAAGAACACCAGUGGCGAAGGCGGCUCUCUGGCCUGUAACUGACACUGAGGCUCGAAAGCGUGGGGAGCAAACAGG
rnacentral:rRNA from 1 species